GUUCGCUUUGACAGCACCCACUAAAACCGGACCAGUGCAGAGGAGGUUAGCAGGGCACCUGCACAAGGACGACUCACAAAUUUGUGAAGCAUUUCAUCCUUUA